GACGAACGCUGGCGGCGUGCCUAACACAUGCAAGUUGAGCGACGAACCAGGGCUUGCCCUGGGGCAAAGCAGCGAACGGGUGAGUAACACGUGGGUAACCUACCCCGAUAACCGGGACAACCCGAGGAAACUCGGGCUAAUACCGGAUGUUCUCACUGGACUUCGGUUCAGUGCGUAAAGGAAGCUUCGGCCUCCGUAUCGGGAGGGGCCCGCGGCCCAUUAGGUUGUUGGUGAGGUAACGGCUCACCAAGACCGCGAUGGGUAGCUGGUCUGAGAGGACGAUCAGCCACACUGGGACUGAGACACGGCCCAGACUCCUACGGGAGGCAGCAGUGGGGAAUCUUGCGCAAUGCGCGAAAGCGUGACGCAGCAACGCCGCGUGGGGGAAGAAGGCCUUCGGGUUGUAAACCCCUUUCAGGAGGGACGAAGGUUCGGCGGUGAAUAGCCGUCCGGACUGACGGUACCUCCACAAGAAGCCCCGGCUAACUACGUG
rnacentral:rRNA from 1 species